AGGACAGUCUCCUCCGAAUUCUACUCAUAUCAAAGAUGUGGGAACCACCAUCAGCCUCUGAGUGGGAAGAGUUAUAUCUGAAUUCUGUGAACUAAUGAGGUAUGAGCUGAGUGAGGCAGAACAACUUGUACAAAUUCUACAGGUGAAGAACUGAUGCAUCGUAUGUAGCAAACUUUCCUGAAAACUUCUGUUUAAGAGAGGCCCAAAUAUUACCCAGUACUGCAUCUUCCUGACAGUCUUGUCUGUACAAGGUCCUGGUCUACAUUCCUUCAGAUUUUGUCAAGUUUGA